CAGUCGCCACGGGAAUACGUAGGGUGCGAGCGUUAAUCGGAAUUACUGGGCGUAAAGCGUGCGCAGGCGGUUGUGUAAGACAGGUGUGAAGUCCCCGGGCUUAACCUGGGAACUGCGCUUGUGACUGCACAGCUAGAGUAUGGCAGAGGGGGGUGGAAUUCCACGUGUAGCAGUGAAAUGCGUAGAGAUGUGGAGGAACACCGAUGGCGAAGGCAGCCCCCUGGGCCAAUACUGACGCUCAUGCACGAAAGCGUGGGGAGCAAACAGGAUUAGAUACCCCUGUAGUCCCUGUCUCUUAUAC
rnacentral:rRNA from 1 species